rnacentral:rRNA from 1 species
GAUGAACGCUGGCGGCGUGCCUAAUACAUGCAAGUCGAGCGAACGGACGAGAAGCUUGCUUCUCUGAUGUUAGCGGCGGACGGGUGAGUAACACGUGGAUAACCUACCUAUAAGACUGGGAUAACUUCGGGAAACCGGAGCUAAUACCGGAUGAUAUUUUGAACCGCAUGGUUCAAAAGUGAAAGACGGUCUUGCUGUCACUUAUAGAUGGAUCCGCGCUGCAUUAGCUAGUUGGUAAGGUAACGGCUUACCAAGGCAACGAUGCAUAGCCGACCUGAGAGGGUGAUCGGCCACACUGGAACUGAGACACGGUCCCGACUCCUACGGGAGGCAGCAGUAGGGAAUCUUCCGCAAUGGGCGAAAGCCUGACGGAGCAACGCCGCGUGAGUGAUGAAGGUCUUCGGAUCGUAAAACUCUGUUAUUAGGGAAGGACAUAUGUGUAAGUAACUGUGCACAUCUUGACGGUACCUAAUCAGAAAGCCACGGCUAACUACGUG